rnacentral:lncRNA from 1 species
GAGAAGAUGGCAAGUGUUGAGCUCUAGAGAGCCCAAGGAGACCCCCACUCUUAAGCAGCUUCUUCUCUAAGGCUUUCUCCAUUGUUGUUGAAGGAGAGAAGCUCAGCAAAAACCAGAGGAACCGAGCAGCAUCAGCCCUCCACCGUCGCAUGCCCAUCGGACCCCAUUUCCUCCUCUGUUUUCCCCUCGUUCCAGUUUUUGCUCCAGCCAACCUUUCGCCAAAGAUCCGAGUAAAAAGUUAACUUCCCG